rnacentral:lncRNA from 1 species
UUUAUUUAAUUAUUUUAUAACGAAUAAUGAUUAAUUGGGCAUGUACAAUUAUUGUGUAUGUUGUACUGUUCAUAGUACAAUAUCUGAUUUUGGCUUGACCAUACCAGAUAUGCUGGUUGAUUUUACUCGGACUGACCUAUCUAAUUUUUGUCUCUUUUUAUCUAAUGUAAAUAUUAGUUUUCUUGGAAGAUAGCAAGAAGUUGCUGGUCUAGGCAAAAUCGAAAUUGAUUGUCAUAGUGACACAUAUUUUCAUUGCCAACUUCCUUGGGCCACAAAUUUUGUUAUUUAUUUUUUAUAAAAGGUUUUAUGGUACUUAUAAAAAAAGUUAAGUUAUUUUGUUAUAUAUUUCGAUUGGCAAUACACUUUGUGCCUGAUUGCGUAAAUACGGGUUUGACCUCUGCGGUCGUUCCUUUUCCCAGACCGCCGUCAUGAAGUGAAGAGUGCUUUAGUUCUUUUUGAAAUUCGUGUGAAUUUUACCCAUAUGGGGAUAUAAUUGACUAAAUGUGGUGAUAGUAAAUCAACUUUUUGGGCGUAAUGCUGUAAUUUGUUGUUUUGUUGAAUUUACUGGCCUUUAUGGCGAUUUAAAACCUAAUAAUUUUUCACGUGCCCUCGAACAUCGGCAAAAUAGCGGUUCUGAUUGGCAUUGGCAGGGGACAAUUUAAUUAGCAAAGCUACAUAACAUGGAUUUUGGACGGAUUUUUUUUGUACGGACUUGAUUUCUUCAUGCCACAUGGUACUUUCGUUUUGGGGUUAUGUACUCUACUGGCUCUAAUCUAGAAGGAGAUUUUAAGCAACUGUGAGCUAACGUCUAACCUAGACCACUACCAGAGCUUGUGAAGUGGAAGAGGUGAAGCUUGGAAGCCUGCAGUUUUUCUUUGACUGGGAAUUGGAUGUCUGGGAGAGUCUCGAAUCUGAAGUAGUCUGCUGUGUGUGGAGCUAGGUGACACAACAUAACAUUUUUUUUUAUUCACUUAUUUUAUUUUUAUUAUCACAACUUUUAUCUUUUGAGCUGAGAUACAUACAUAAGCUUAUUUAAAAUUUUAUUGACAUUAUUUAAUCGAUGCUAUUUUAUUAUUGAAUAUUACUGAUAUGAGUACAUAUAUAUGUGACAAGUGACUCCUGUGAGGUAAGACGCAGCCGGCUUCGUAGUACUACGAGUAUAUACUUGGGUUAUAUUAUUUAUUUUCAGACUACUCCUAAGAUGUCAAAUUUUCUCAGAUUAGCUAGUAAAUAUUAGAGUAAACUAAUAAAAGGGUAAUUUUAAGUGGGGAAGCUUCAACAGUUAGGGUUGUUAUUUUUUUUUUUUGCUUAGGUCAAUGUCCGUGGCGGGAUAUACCGGGCCAUGUAAAUUAUUAGUUUAAAUUGAAUUGAUGCUUCAUUCCCCAAAAGGUUUGGGUGUAACAUAGUUUGUUUUAUUUCGACAACCACACUUUGAUUGUGUAUUUUUUGUGUGAUGUUGUGGUUCCGUAUUACCAACUUAAAUAA